AAAGAUAUUUUAAUGGUUGACAUGAUGAAAAAGAAACCUAAAUACAUUUGAUUAAAGUUGAGAUAUGGUGUUCUGCAGAUGAUUUCAGAAAGACAUUGUUAGGACAUUGCUUUAGGAUACACACAAUUCUUUAUUUUUUACUGAGUAAUCAGCAAAUUUGAGAUCAGAAAAUCAAAUGUAAGCCAUUGUUCUGUGCAAUUUUGAGGAUACUCUGAAUAUAUUAAUGAAGUGUACUCUUCAUUUUAUAACACCUAUACUUUAUUGUUUUAUUGAAGUUGUUUAAAACUGAUGAUUUACAGUAUGAGCUUUCUUCACAAUCAUAGAUAAAAAUAUUGUAUUUAUGAAUUCUUUUAGAUGAAGAGUGGUUAGAACAUUUAUGAUUCUUGCACAGGAAUGUAUCCUUUCACGAGAUUAUUGCUUUGGAGUAAAUAUUAGACUGUUAUUAUAAAAGAGAUACUUAGUUUAAUCCAAUCCUUCCAAAUAUUUAGAUGUUAUUGACAUGCAUAUUUUCUUUUAAAGAUGGUCUUGUGAAAAUUGAUAAGCUAGAAACAAUUUUCUUUUGCCAAUGGAACUGUGGGAGCUUCUCUUGGACUUCAUGAGAUGGUAAUGAUGGGGCCUAAAAGGGAAGAGAAAUUAUCUAUGCCUUUGCCUUUCUUGAAUUCUAUCUCCAGAGAGUAAGAUAACAACUUAAUUUUAAGUCAGUGAUUCUCCAUUCCUACCUGUGGUCUUUUGGACACCCUUGCAGAAGAUCACUUCUUGGGAAUUCAUUUGAAGUGAAUGAUACCAGUAAAUCCUUGAAACAAGACUCUUCAGACAAAGGGGCUGUUGUCCAAAUGCUACCCUCUGAAGGUGAUGACCACAAAUGUGAGGCGGAUUUAUUACUGAGGGUGCCAUUACUUCUACUACAAGCUUCACCAAAACAAUGAUACAGUCUUCUUUAUGCUUGGAGACUCGUCUCUUUCCUGUGUUGCAGUGGACACCUCCUGCAGAUAAGAAAUGCUUAACUGAGAAAUGCUCAUGUUGGGAUAUCAUCGAUGAGACUUUAAUUUGGGCAUGGUGACUGUUUCCCUUGCUGCCACUUGACUCAAUCCCAGGAGCCUCAGUAGAGGAAAUAUUAUUGCACAAGAAUCUCAAAAUGAUGGAAUUGCUCAGUGCUCCCAUAAAUAUACAUUUAUAAUUUCCAUUUGCCAUAUGGUAAAAUUUAAAUAUUGGAUAUAUUGAAAAGAAACUACACAAUUUUUUUCAAAACUUCAAAGUGUAUCUAAAUAUCUAAUAUAUAAAUUAAGUUCCCUCCUCCCUCCCAAUUCUACCCCCCCAAAGUUUUCUUCUAUUAAGGGAGUUGUGUGCAUUCUUUAAGUGGAUAGAUGCACACAUACAGUCACACAGACACAUACACACAAACUAUUUUGAGGGGUUCUGGAAGUAGGGCCAUAUUGUACACAUUCUUCUGCAAAUUGUCUUUCAUUUAACAGUUUUAAUACCCUUUUCUAUUUCAGUAAUACACAUCUGUGUCAUUUGUUGAAUGACUGCACGACUGUUUUGUAGGUGAAAUAUAAUUAAAUGUUAUAAGCAUUUCUCAUUCAUAGAUAUUUAUGUUAGCACCAAAUUUCUGUGCAAUGAAACUCCCUAUCAAUAAUUCUGCACUUGUCUAUUAUAUCAUAAUAAAUUACUUAGCAGUUCAAAUACUGGGAUUAAGGAUAUGCACAUUUCAAAUUAUUACAAGAUUUCCUUAAAAUGUGGUGACAACUUUAUCCUCAAAUGGCAAUGAAUGAGAUUGCCAGCUUUCCCCACAACUUCACAGAUAAUGGAUUUUAUAAAUAUUUAAUUUUUUUGCCAAUGUGAUAGCCCAAACUAUUGUCUUAAACUGUAUUUCUUUUGUUUUUGAGUUUGAUCAUUUUUUCAUGUUUAUUAGCC